UGCUGGGAGCCUGUCUGGCCUUAAUAG
rnacentral:misc_RNA from 1 species